AAACCAUGCAUCAGACAUUUCCACAACAAGUCUUUAAACCUCUCCUAUGCUUCGUACAAGUUCUCAUCAUCCAUUUGCUUGAAAUAUAUGAUUUCAUUCCUCAAUAU